GAGGAAGAGGAAGAGGAAGAGGAUGAUGGAAGGCAUUCACGAUUGUUGCAAGAAAUUACUGGACUUCCAACUGAUGCUUUUGAUGGCAAGAAGAAGAAAAAUGACGUUAUCAUAUCUGAGGCAUAUUCGGAGUCCGAGUAUAAUCCCAGUCGUGAUAUUUUGGAUGGGGAUGGCCGGAUUAGCAUCCAGGACCUUCUGGACCCCCUCCAUGGGAAGUCUGACCAUAGCAAACUUAGAAAGAGCAUGAGUCGGAUGGAGAAGAAGUCCAUGCCUAUUCAUGCACCUCUUCCGAAACCGGAUCAAGAAAGAUUGGAAAGAGAUGCUGCUUAUGGUUUUAUCCAGAAGGAUGUUACAAAAUGGGAACCUCAUGUCAAAAAAAACAGAGAGGCACCGACUAUAUAUUUUGGCAAAGAUAAGAACGUGG
rnacentral:misc_RNA from 1 species